CUUUCAGAUUUAAUGUCCACACUCAAACUCUCAGAAUGUCACUUGAUGAUAUAUGAAGCCAAUUUCAAUUCGGGUGUUUAUGAAAUAAUCACCAGAAAGCGAGAGCGAGCGCAACCUUCAUCACAGCCCCCCGGUACAGACAUGGUGGCGUUGAUGACGGGCGUACCGAGGGACUUGCAUCAGCUGCGCCGGUUACCGUGCAACAGAGCUGGGAAAUUUUUACGACUUCUUCCGUUUGAUGGCUUUUUGUGGGUUCGGAAUGUGUUACGUUUGUGAUUAUAAAUCUGGGCAAAUAAAGUCGUGAACUAUGUAAAACAGCAGCAAACGCACAAUGAUGAUGACGACAACAACAGCAACUACAGUGUGCAUAUGGCUGUGUGUGUGUGUGAAUGUGAAUUUUAACAUACGUUCUGGCAUGGUCAUAAAUCCAUAAAAGUAAAUAAAACUUCCGUAAGUAACAAGUGGGCUUUGCUGCUUUGCUAACUUCAUGUACACGUCCCUCCUCGAGUCAGUCGAACGGCCGGUCGCUCGCUCUUCUCGGUCGGUGGGACUGCUUUUUUGGUGGAAAAUCAAAGCGGAAAGGUGUUAAAUAUUAAAUCUACUCUGGCGUUUAACCACAAUACAUCCACCGGCUGGCUGCCUGUCUGACUGUUGGGUAAUAAACCAAAGUGUGGCAAAGUGUUUAAUUUGUUAUUUAUGAGCAAUUAAUUUUAAAUAAGAGACCAUUAAAUGCACCCAAUGUUUGGCUGCCGCUCAAUGAGGAGGAUGUUAUGGAUCGAUCUAUAAUGAAUGGUGGUUGUUGUUGGAUGCACGCACUGCUCUCGCCAUAAAGUGCAGGUUGUCGUUUUUUACGACGCUAACCCCCAUUAAGAGCCAUUGUCCUGCGGCCAUUAAAUAAUGUGCCUUCAUAAAUGAUAAGAAUGUAAUCAUUGUAAAUUUUAGUAGGAUCAAAUAAUUGAUGUUUCUCUCCUCCUAUAUGCUUCCAUUAAACUCGAGUGUAUGUAUGUUUGCCACCAGAUUUAUAUACCUUUAAUAAGAAAUAAAACUAAUCGCAAUAUUACUCAAUAAAUCUGUUUAUAGUGCA
rnacentral:sRNA from 1 species